GGGGGCGACAGGUUUCGACUUUGGUAAGCUUGGUAAGAGCAGCAUGUCGAGGUUGUCAGGAGGCCUCGAAAAACACCUGGCACUAAUUAAACGCCAACUACGAUGCAGUAGCUGAAGCAGAGGCCAUUUUGGUCUCUAGCGAGGCGGUAGCUGUUGCCUAAUUAGGCAACCCGUCUACAAGUCCUGCCUGUGGGAUUUGAAUAGACGCCAUUAGCAGGCUGGCUGUUUCCUUUAAGUGCUUUUUGGAAACGGCGAGGAGCAUAAAAAGGGCUUUGUUGCGUGAUAUCCAGUUUGUCGGAGAUCAUGCGGCGAGACGAAAAGACAAACUAAACAUGUAGAUACUGUUAUUGGGAUACUGAAGGACGCGGAUUCGAUUUCCG
rnacentral:tmRNA from 1 species